UUCGCUUCUUGGACUUUUGGCUAAGAUCAAGGGUAGUUUCUAUUCUUAUCAGUUUAACAUCUGAUACGUCCCCUAUCUGGAGACCAUUAUAUUAAAUGGAUUUUAACAUGAAGAUGGCAGAAGAUGGCAGGAUUGGCCCUGGAUUAUUCUCAUCAUGUCUUCUAGACCUUUCUCAGAGGAUUGUCCUA